CAUGAGUGAGAUGCUUAGAUGUGAUCUUUUAGGGUCAAACAGUGUUUUUCUUUUUGAAUCAAACUUCACAUUUCUGCUUGAUGUGUUUUAUUAGAACAUUAAGAUCUGAUCUUUUCUGAGUGUCAACAGGUGAAAAAUCUUUAUUUUUGAAUGAAUCUGGGCCACCGACAUAUGUGGUCUGGGUUCUGAUUAAAAGCUGAGUUGUACCUGGUAAUCAGAUCAGAUCCAGGUUCAUGUCAGUGCUGCAGACAGGUCAGAUUCUAAUGAAACAUCUCAUCUUCAUUCUUAUUUUCAACAGAGACCUUUGAAGUGCAAACGAAAGUCAAAAAGAUGACGAAAGGAGACAAACAAAAGCAGGAUGCCAAGAAAGAAACUCUGCCCAAACAAGCUGUGGAAGCGACAAUGA